CAGCAGCCGCGGUAAUGCGUAGGGUACAAGCGUUAAUCGGAAUUACUGGGCGUAAAGCGCGCGCAGGUGGUUUAAUAAGUCUGAUGUGAAAGCCCACGGCUCAACCGUGGAGGGUCAUUGGAAACUGUUAAACUUGAGUGCAGGAGAGAAAAGUGGAAUUCCUAGUGUAGCGGUGAAAUGCGUAGAUAUAUGGAGGAAUACCGAUGGCGAAGGCAGCCCCCUGGGCCAAUACUGACGCCCAUGCACGAAAGCGUGGGGAGCAAACAGGAUUAGAUACCCCCGUAGUCCCUGUCUCUUAUAC
rnacentral:rRNA from 1 species